UGGGGAAUAUUGGACAAUGGGCGAAAGCCUGAUCCAGCGACGCCGCGUGUGUGAAGAAGGCCUGCGGGUUGUAAAGCACUUUUAGUGGGGAUGAAAAGCACAUUGCUAAUACCAGUGUGUCUUGACCUAACCCAAAGAAAAAGCACAGGCUCACUCUGUGCCAGCAGCCGCGGUAAUACAGAGGGUGCGAGAGCUAAUCGGAAUUACUGGGCGUAAAGCGUGCGUAGACGGUUAUUUAAGUCGGGUGUGAAAGCCCCGGGCUCAACCUGGGAAUUGCAUUCGAGACUGAAUAGCUAGGGUACGGUAGAGGGAAGUGGAAUUUCCGGUGUAGCGGUGAAAUGCGUAGAUAUCGGAAGGAACAUCAGUGGCGAAAGCGACUUCCUGGACCAGUACCGACGUUCAGGCACGAAAGCGUGGGGAGCAAA
rnacentral:rRNA from 1 species